GACUCUGUCCUUCCUGAGAGGAGGAAAUGACCAAGUUCCAGGAUCUCACCGGGAUAUGGAGCCACAUGAGAUCACAAGAACCUGCGUGUAAUGAGGCUGGGGGAAGGUCUGAAGUUCAGAUCUCAGGGCAUAGGAGCCCCUCAAAGAGAACAGGGCAGCUGACCCUCGCCCAUCAAUUCCCCGUGCAGGAACCAGAGCUCUGAGAAUCUGGCCUCCAGGAGUCCAAGCCUGGGAAAUACCUACGUACCUCGGCAACCGAGAUGCCAGUGCUUCUGCGGUUUCCACAGCUCUUUCAAAGCUGCUCAUAUCAACCAGGGUGUCUGGCGGCCUCCUUCUUACACACCUCAGCCAUUGCUAGGUCUGCUUUCCUUCCUGUAAAUUUUGUGAGCUUUAUAGAGUGCACGUGCUGAAGCCUAACCAUGUUUGCAGCUGAUAGAGGUCCUCCCUUCUCAGCGCCUGACCCACCGAGGGCCAGAGCAGCGCAGUGCCGUGCAACCCGCCCAGCCCAGAGGUGCCACCAAAAUGCAGCAACACGUCACGGGGCCCACAGCUCCUCACCAGCCAGGGCUCCUCAGGCCUGCUUCCUAUGAGAGUCACCUGGAGAAUUCUCUAAACAUUCAAUCUGAACGUCUAGAGGUGAGUCUGAUGCAAAGAUGAAGAACGUGAUGGCAGUCACGCAUUCUCACCGCACCCACGCCGAAGGUGCCGACUGCGGCAAGACUGAAAUGUUUCCCGGAAAACACUGACCUUCAAAGAGAGAGCGUCUUCCUUCCUCCCCACCACUGACUCCUAUCCCCACGGCAAAGCCCUAGUCUUCUUAUAGCUUGAGUUUAACUGAUACUGCCUUUACUGCAUCAGAUUGAUGGUCAAAGUAAACUGUUUUCCAAAUAACCUUUCCUGCCUCUAAAAUCCAAAA
rnacentral:lncRNA from 1 species